rnacentral:rRNA from 1 species
GUCUAUGGCCAUACCACCCUGAACGUGCCCGAUCUCGUCUGAUCUCGGAAGCUAAGCAGGGUCGGGCCUGGUUAGUACUUGGAUGGGAGAAAUCUAAGAGAUAAAUAAGGGAAAGGAGGUACAGGGAUA